GACGAACGCUGGCGGCGUGCUUAACACAUGCAAGUCGAGCGGAAAGGCCCUUUCGGGGGUACUCGAGCGGCGAACGGGUGUGUAACACGUGAGUAAUCUGCCCUUCACUUGGGGAUAACCUCCGGAAACGGUGGCUAAUACCCGAUACGACCAUUCCUCGCAUGAGGUGGUGGUGGACAGUUUUUCGGUGGGGGAUGUGCUCGCGGCCUAUCAGCUUGUUGGUGGGGUAAUGGCCUACCAAGGCUUCGACGGGUAGCCGGCCUGAGAGGGUGACCGGCCACACUGGGACUGAGACACGGCCCAGACUCCUACGGGAGGCAGCAGUGGGGAAUAUGGGACAAUGGGCGGAAGCCUGAUCCAGCAACGCCGCGUGAGGGAUGACGGCCUUCGGGUUGUAAACCUCUUUCACCUGUGACGAAGCGAAAGUGACGGUAGCAGGAGAAGAAGCACCGGCCAACUACGUG
rnacentral:rRNA from 1 species